UUGUUUUUUUUUCUAAAUCUGUCCUGAAUUGGUCAAUUGCCACCAGGUGAAUCUUGACUUUCUCUAAAGAAGGGAAAUGUGUGAAGUGUUAGAUCAACCAACGAUCAACCAGUACUGGAAUAGCUCAAAGGUGCAUCUCCUGAACCAUGAACUGGCAAGUAUAUAUAUCGCUGGAGCACAACACAAUGUUACAUUGUCUGAGAAUUUGUGGCCCAACAGACAGGAACGUCAGGAGUUGUAGGAUGACUGCACUGUAAUCCAUGGUGUUUUGCUAUUUGAACACAUUGUUUUGAGAAAUGCACUUACUGCUUUGCAAAUUUCAAUUCUGAUCUGAGAAAUGUACCAAAGCGACUGAGAAAAACUGUAAUACU